rnacentral:rRNA from 1 species
AACUUCUUAGAGUGACCUCGGAUCAGUAGA